CUGCACGCUGCUGGGGUCGGGGGGGGGGGUAAAGUGGGGCAGCCGUGGCGGAAAGCCGUGCGGAGGUUCCUCGGAAGCUGAGGACGAGGACCGCAUGAUCCGGCGGCUCCCCUCUGGGUAGAUGCCCAACGGAGCGGACGGCGGGGACGCCGCUUCCAUAGCAGUGGUUCCCAGCAGCCAGAGGACGGUGACGCCGCAGGUGCCGCAGACGAUGAACGGAUAAGCAGGUUGUGUCCAUCAGGCCACGAAUGUUAUUCAGCCUUGAAAGGGGGGGACUCUGACCCGGGGGGACCUUGAGGACAUUCUGCCGAGUGGAAAAGCCUGGCCCAGAAGGACAAAUACCACGGGAAUCCACUUACAUGAAGUCCCUGGAGUGUCUGAUCCGCAGGGACAGAAGGCAGCAGGGUGGCCAGGGCUGGAGGGAGGGGCCCAGAGUGGCUGCGUGAGGGUGGGGCUCCUUCUGGAAGAUGAGGGUGCUGAGGCCUACCCCCCCAACGGUGUGAGCAUGCGCCCUGGAGCGUCUCCUUAGAAGGUUAAGUGUUAUGUAUACACACAUUCCCACAAUCAAAAAGCCUCGGAACCUGCCUUCUGGGGAAGGAUGACCUGACAGGAAGCAGUAGAGAGACCACGCGGGAGGGCGCUGGGACCCUCCAGCCAGGGCACCAUCUGAGCAGAUGGCAGCAGAGACAGGGCAUUGAGGUGGCCAGAAUGUGAGAUAAAAAUAGAACCUCUGCUUUUAGCAACACUUUUCUCAAGUUGGAAGCACAGCACUUUUAUGCAAAAGGCAGCAUUUUCUUCUUGCCCCUCUUAAGAGGAGCCACCAGAGAAAGAAGAGCUCUUGGCUUCGUGUAACCCGGCUGAGCACAGGGGAGAGACGGAAACCACACUGGACUAGAUUCCCUACCUCUGGUUCCAGCCGUUCAAGUCCUGCCACACCUCCUAAACCUCUAAGCACGCGGACUUCAAACAUUUAUUUCCAGAACCCAUGUAACGAGAAACGUGCCUACAGAGAAAACCGGAUGCUGCUAUGAAUCGCCUUUGUCCCAUGAUCCUGUGCUCACCAGUCCUACAAUUACCCUUUUCUUCCUAGACUUUAAAGUUGGGAUCAGACACAAGGAUACUUUGAUUUCUUUACCCUACACCAGCCACAGUAUCUGAUUUAAUAUAGGAGCUUAAUAUAACUUUAAUGAGGAGAUAAAUGGAUGAAGAAAGACAGGAGUGAAGAAAUGGAGUCACUGCAAAAAUAAAACAACAAAAGGAGCUUACCA
rnacentral:lncRNA from 1 species